UUCCCAUUCCGAACACAGAAGUUAAGCUCUUUAGCGCCGAUGGUACUUGGUGGGAAGCUGCCUGGGAGAGUAGGACGUAGCCACGU
rnacentral:rRNA from 1 species